GCUCACUUCAGCUGUACCUAUACUAAAAUUGGAACAAUACAGAGAAGAUAAGCAUGGCCCCUGAGCAUGGAUAACACUAAUUUUUAAUUUAAAAAAAUUUUU
ensembl:snRNA U6 U6 spliceosomal RNA